rnacentral:rRNA from 1 species
UACGAGGGGAGCUAGCGUUGUUCGGAAUUACUGGGCGUAAAGGGCGCGUAGGCGGUUCUAUAAGUCAGAUGUGAAAGCCCCGGGCUUAACCUGGGAGGUGCAUUUGAAACUGUAGGGCUUGAGAUCGAGAGAGGAAAGUGGAAUUACGAGUGUAGAGGUGAAAUUCGUAGAUAUUCGUAAGAACACCAGUGGCGAAGGCGACUUUCUGGCUCGAUACUGACGCUAAGGCGCGAAAGCGUGGGGAGCAAACAGG